GCACAGAGUCGGACACGACUGAAGCGACUUAGCAGCAGCAGCAGUACAUACCAAGUACAACACCUGGCCAGAGGACACAACUUAAGUUCUUACCACUGGGUUUUUGCUCCAGCCAUGCCUAACUGCUAGCAGUCCCCUGCAGGUACUCAGCUACCCCUGACUUACCCUUCAAGACCACUCCCAGGAGUCUUCCCUGAGCCCUGAGGCCGAGUGAGGACACUUUUCUCUCUGUUCCCAUUUCUCUGAGCUUCGGCCUCACCUGGCACUUACCGUCCAUAUUUUAAUUACCUGUUUGCAGGUUUGUCCCCAUCUACCCUCCUCCAUAGGCUGAGGGCUCUGACAACUUCACCUCAUUCUUCCUCCAGUUUCUAUCCUCAGGCUAGAAAGAGUCAGUGAACUCUUCUUAACAUAAGUAAGCAGUGGUGCCCAUGACUCAGUUUCCCUCUUGGCUGGAAACCAUCCAGAGGCUUGGGUCUUGCCUCUUGGCCUUCUCUAAGCUUCAUUUGCCUCUCCAGAACUGAAGGAGGCUGGUUUUAAGGGCUCUUUCAACUUUUAAGGUCUAAGGAACUGGGAGAUUGAUACUCACCCUUGCAGGACCCCUCACCAGGAUCCUGUGUGGUACAAAGAUAUAGAUGGAGAAAGCUGUUUAAACGGUUUAAGUCUGAGGAAAUUUUGAGGAAGAUCAUUUUGUUGUUCUGUUUGCAUGCAACUAGUGUCCGCACAACACCUACUAAUCACGUGCCAGCAUUGGGAACAGGGGUAUGAUACAAAGUUGUAGAUACCAGCUUCCGGGGAUUUCCUUUCAGCGCUGCCUUCCAGCCAGUCUGGGAGCGCCGACCCCCUCCUGUCCGUCUCCUCUCUAGCUGUUUACGGCUCCAGGACUUGUCUGGUCCAUGUGCCCACGUUUGCCUCUGCCCGGGCCAGUGGAGUCCAGAGAGGAGCGGAUUGAAGUUGGCCCUUCGGAUAUCGGCCCAGGCGCCCUCUGGCGGCCGCGCGCGGAAGCUGCGGCCCGGAGCGGAGCUGGCGAAGGGAGGAGGGAGGGAGAUCGAGGAGGAGGCGCGGGCAGGGGAGGAGAG
rnacentral:lncRNA from 1 species